CUCCUACGGGAGGCAGCAGUAGGGAAUUUUCGGCAAUGGGGGAAACCCUGACCGAGCAACGCCGCGUGAACGACGAAGCACUUCGGUGCGUAAAGUUCUUUUAUCGGGGAAGAAUGGGAGGCGGAAAAGCCUUCGUGACGGUACCCGAUGAAUAAGCCCCGGCUAACUAUGUGCCAGCAGCCGCGGUAAUACAUAGGGGGCGAGCGUUAUCCGGAAUUAUUGGGCGUAAAGGGUGCGUAGGCGGCCGAUUAAGUCUUUGGUGUAAGUGCAAGGCUCAACCUUGUGAUGCUAAAGAAACUGGGCGGCUUGAGUGUGGUAGAGGCAAGUGGAAUUCCAUGUGUAGCGGUAAAAUGCGUAAAUAUAUGGAGGAACACCGGUGGCGAAGGCGGCUUGCUGGGCCACAACUGACGCUGAGGCACGAAAGCGUGGGGAGCAAACAGGGUUAGAUACCCUGUUUGUCCGGGAAACUCAAAGGAAACCUUAAGG
rnacentral:rRNA from 1 species